rnacentral:tRNA from 1 species
GCGCGGUUGGUGGAAUUGGUAGACACGUACGCUUGAGGUGCGUAUGCCGCAAGGUGUGGGGGUUCAAGUCCCCCAUCGCGCACCA